rnacentral:rRNA from 1 species
UGAAUUGCAGAAUCUCAUGAAUCAUCGAGUUUUUGAAUGCAAUUUGGGCCCGAGGCCUCGGUCGAGGGCACGUCUGUCUGGGCAUUG